AUUGAACGCUGGCGGCAGGCCUAACACAUGCAAGUCGAACGAGUGGCGGACGGGUGAGUAAUGUCUGGGAAACUGCCUGAUGGAGGGGGAUAACUACUGGAAACGGUAGCUAAUACCGCAUACCAUCGGAUGUGCCCAGAUGGGAUUAGCUAGUCGGUGGGGUAAAGGCUCACCUAGGCGACGAUCCCUAGCUGGGCUGAGAGGAUGAACAGCCACCUGGGAACUGAGACACGGUCCAGACUCCUACGGUAGGCAGCAGUGGGGAAUAGUGCACAAUGGGAGAAAGCCUGAUGCAGCCAUGCCGCGUGUAUGAAGAAGGCCUUCGGGUUGUAAAGUACUUUCAGCGGGGAGGCGUUACCCGCAGAAGAAGCACCGGCUAACUCCGUGCCAGCAGCCGCGGUAAGUC
rnacentral:rRNA from 1 species